rnacentral:rRNA from 1 species
AUUGAACGCUGGCGGCAUGCCUUACACAUGCAAGUCGAACGGUAACAGGUCUUCGGAUGCUGACGAGUGGCGAACGGGUGAGUAAUACAUCGGAACGUGCCUAGUAGUGGGGGAUAACUACUCGAAAGAGUGGCUAAUACCGAAUGAGAUCUACGGAUGAAAGCAGGGGAUCGCAAGACCUCGUGCUACUAGAGCGGCCGAUGGCAGAUUAGGAAGUUGGUGGGAUAAAAGCUUACCAAGCCGACGAUCUGUAGCUGGUCUGAGAGGACGAUCAGCCACACUGGGACUGAGACACGGCCCAGACUCCUACGGGAGGCAGCAGUGGGGAAUUUUGGACAAUGGGCGAAAGCCUGAUCCAGCAAUGCCGCGUGCAGGAUGAAGGCCUUCGGGUUGUAAACUGCUUUUGUACGGAACGAAAAGCCCCGGGUUAAUACCCUGGGGUCAUGACGGUACCGUAAGAAUAAGCACCGGCUAACUACGUGCCAUCCGCCGCAGUAA